rnacentral:rRNA from 1 species
UAACGACUCUCGGCAACGGAUAUCUCGGCUCUCGCAUCGAUGAAGAACGUAGCGAACUGCGAUACUUGGUGUGAAUUGCAGGAUCCCGUGAACCAUCGAGUCUUUGAACGCAAGUUGCGCCCGAAGCUUCGGUCGAGGGCACGUUUGCCUGGGUGUCA